rnacentral:rRNA from 1 species
UAGAGUUUGAUCCUGGCUCCAAUGAACGCUGGCGGCGUGCUUUACACUUGCAAUUCGAGCGAGGGCUCCCCUUGGGGAUAGUCCAACGGACAACGGGUGAGUCACGCUUGGAUAACCUGCCCUGAGGUGGGGGAUAACCAAGGGAAACUUUGGCUAAUACCGCAGGAUACCCAGAGGUCCAAGGGGGUUCGCAUGGGCUCUCGCCAUAUGAGGGGUCCGCGUACAAUUAGCUAGUUGGUAGGGUAAUGGCCUACCCCGGCGACGAUCGCUAGCCGGCCUGACAGGGUGAUCGGCCACACUGGAACUGAGACACGGUCCAGACUCCUACGGGAGGCAGCAGUGGGGAAUUUUGCGCAAUGGGGGAAACCCUGACGCAGCAACGCCGCGUGGAGGAUGAAGGUCCUUGGAUUGUAAACUCCUGUCUCCAGGGAAAAAUCAACUUGACCUCUUACGUCAGGGAGUUGAUUGUACCUGCAGAGGAAGCCCCGGCUAACUCUGUGCCAGCAGCCUCGGUAAUACAGAGGGGGCAAGCGUUAUUCACAAUUAUUGGGCGUAAAGGGCGCGUACGCGGCUUGGCAAGUGGAAGGUGAAGUCCCUCGGCUUAACCGAGGAACUGCCCUCCAAACUGCUUCGCUUGAGAUCGGGAGAGGUGAGUGUAAUUCCCAGUGUAUCGGUGAAAUGCGUAGAUAUAGGGAGGAACACCAGUGGUCAACGCGGCUCACUGGGACCGGUACUGACGCUGAUGCGCGAAAGCGUGCGGAGCUAAACGGGAUUAGAUACCCCGGCAGUCCACGCCGUAACGAUGACUGCUGGGUGUAGCGGGUAUCCACCCCUGUUGUGCCGUAGUCAGAACAUAACAUCUCCGUCUCGGGGAGUAAGUCGAAAGCUGAACUGCAAGUACUCGACUGAGGCCCGGCAAUCCGCUGUA